UACGUAGGGUGCAAGCGUUGUCCGGAAUUAUUGGGCGUAAGGGCUCUUAGGCGGUCUGUCGCGGUGGGCGUUAAAACUCGGGGCUCAACCCCGAGCCUGCAGUCGAUACGGGCAGACUAGAGUGCUGUAGGGGAGACUGGAAUUCUUGGUGUAGCGGUGAAAUGCGCAGAUAUCAGGAGGAACACCGGUGGCGAAGGCGGCAUCCUGGACGACACCUGACACUGAGGCACGAAAGCUAGGGGAGCAAACAGG
rnacentral:rRNA from 1 species